UGUCGUCGGGGUGGGGCGGGCCUGAGGAAACGCUCCUGGGCCCAGUGGCCCUUCCAGUGCUCCCUGGCCGUCCCCGCCCCUCCUCUACCAACCCAGCGACCGGGCAGGAUGCAGACAUCAGAGCGUGAGGGGAGUGGGCCAGAGGUAAGCCCCAGCGUGAUGCCUGAGGCUCCCCUGGAGUCUCCACCUGCCCCUACCAAGUCCCCGGCGUUUGAUCUUUUCAACUUGGUUCUGUCCUACAAGAGGCUGGAGAUCUACCUGGAACCCCUAAAGGAUGCAGGUGACGGUGUCCGAUACUUGCUCAGGUGGCAGACACCUUUGUGUUCCUUGCUGACCUGCCUGGGCCUCAACAUCUUGUUCCUCACUUUGAAUGAAGGUGCGUGGUACUCGGUGGGUGCCCUGAUGAUUUCAGUGCCCGCCCUCCUGGGCUACCUUCAGGAGGUCUGCCGGGCACGGCUGCCUGAGUCUGAGUUGAUGCGGAGGAAGUAUCACAGCGUGAGGCAGGAGGACCUCCAGAGAGUUCGCCUGUCUCGCCCCGAGGCUGUGGCUGAGGUGAAGAGCUUCCUGAUCCAGCUGGAGGCCUUCCUGAGCCGCCUGUGCCGUACCUGCGAAGCUGCCUACCGCGUGCUGCACUGGGAGAACCCUGCCGCGUCCUCGCAGUUCUAUGGGGCUCUUCUGGGCACAGUUUGCAUGCUGUACCUGCUGCCCCUGUGCUGGGUCCUUGCCCUUUUAAACAGCACGCUCUUUCUGGGGAAUGUGGAGUUCUUCCGAGUGGUAUCUGAGUACAGGGCAUGUCUGCAGCGGCGGAUGAACCCCAAGCAGGAAGACGGUGUCUUUGAGAGCCUCCCGCUGCCAGAUGCUGGGGGAAAGUGCGCCCUGCCGGACUGCACGCCUGCGCCCACACCCACGGAGGACCUCACGCCCGGAAGUGUGGAGGAGGCCGAGGAGGCUGAGCCUGAUGAGGAGUUUAAAGAUGCGAUUGAGGAGACCCACUUGGUGGUGCUGGAGGAUGACGAGGGUGCCCCGUGCCCAGCAGAAGAUGAGCUGGUUCUGCAGGACAACGGGUUCCUGAGCAAGAACGAGGUGCUGCGCAGCAAGGUGUCCCGGCUCACGGAGCGGCUCCGCAAACGCUACCCUACCAACAACUUUGAUCUGGACUUUGCUCCCUUGUGCACCGCUCCUAGCACGGUGUCUGGGCUGGGCUGGUGUCCUGAGUGGGCCUGUUUAGAAGAGCCAGGGGCAGGUGAGAGUUCAGGCCUGGGUUGGGUCAGGGCUGAGCUGCUACCUCUGUUUGUCAGGGAACUGUACGGGCUGCUCGGCCACCUUCUCAGUGCUGAAGAAGAGGCGAAGCUGCAGUAACUGUGGAAACAGCUUCUGCUCCCGGUGCUGCUCCUUCAAGGUGCCUAAAUCCUCCAUGGGGGCCACAGCCCCCGAAGCCCAGAGAGAGACUGUGUUUGUGUGUGCCUCGUGUAACCAGACCUUGAGCAAGUGAGAAGAGGGGCUGGGGUCCAAAGUGGGCGUCGGUCCCUGGGGCCAGCAGCAGGCCUCACCCUCCCUAGCCGCAUGUGGUGUGUGCUGGGCAAAUGUGGCCUGAACGCUAGGUAGGCGUCCCCUUCCUGUCCUCGCUGUCUCCAGCCGGAUUCUGGAGCUGUUCCCCACUCCUGCGGAGGGCUAGUAAGCAGCAGUUCUCGAAACCCAGAGGGAAGAGGAGCCCCUGGAGGGCCUGGCAUAUGUGCCCUCCUCUGCUCUGGACUGAUCAGUGGACUCAGAGCUGGGCAGGGAAUAUAAACUAGAGGGCAGGAGUGAGCUAGGCCUGGUCUCUGUAGGGUCUCUGAGCAUCAGGGCAUCUCUCCACACCUGACAGUUCUAGGAGACCAGAGAUCAGAGACUGGGAAAAGAGAUUCUUCCUCUGCUGGUUGCUGGUCCAAGCCCUUGGCCCCUGAGAGCCUGCAGAAGGGCCUGGACGUGCCGUGACCCCACUCUGCUUUGCGAACGUUCCUUCAGGCAUCAGCAUCUCCUUGUUUCUCCACCAGAGGGUAUGGCCAGGGCUAACCAGACCGAAAGUCCUUCUAGAAACAGGGUUGAAAUUUCCAUGUUCUCCCAGAGGAGGAUGUGUCUAGGAGGGCCUGUCAGAGUUCUUUAGUAUUAAGUGGGAAAAAACAUAGGGAUCCCCAGCAGCUCAAAGGGCCUCAGCCUUACCUUGCAGAAACCUUCACUAGCAGAAUCUCAGGCCACAUAUUACCCUGGUGACAGCUCCAUUGGGUAGAUGCCAGGCAUUCAGAUCACUCUUGUUUCUUUUGCUCGGAGCCUUGGGCAUCCCUCCUCUGGCACAGAGCUGCAUUUCUCUCCCUGGCCCCUUGUCCCAUGGAGUGUGAGAUAGGCAAGCAGAGCAGAGGUCCUGAAGCCCUUGACCCUUGGGGGCCUGGGAAGUGUAGGAUCUCUCUGGGCUGGGUCCUAGACUCUGGCACUGUUCCCCAGCAGGACAGUCUCGCGGGUUAAGGCCACUUGAGGUCCCCAUCCUCUACAACAGUUUUAUGUUCACUCUGGACUUUUAGGCCGUCAGUGUCUCUCCCUAAGCCUUGAGCAGGCUCAGGCACCAUUUCCCUUCCUUGGAGCUGCCCUGCCUUUUUGAAGUAUUUAUUUAUUUAUUGCAUGGUUCCUGGGAGCAGGUGGCACAAGGAAUGGAAUGAAGAAGAGUGGGGUGCUUCUGUUCUAGGAUGCUUCCCCGGAGCCACGGGCUGCCGGGGACCCAGGACCCAUGGGAGGCUGAGCAGAGAUCCAAGGAGACGGGCUGGGGAGACAGAGGCCAUCUGAGGCCAGCUUUCUCGCCAGGCCAACCAGUGUAACUAGGGCCGGCAGUCGGGCCUGCUCCAGGCCAGGGAGGUGCAAGUCCCUGGGGAAGUGGGCAGGCCUUGGUAUACCCCCUUCCUCAGGCUCCUCUGUUAACAGAUGAGAGUGAAGUACCCUGUGCUUCAUUUACACUGGAGAGGAACGGAAAGGAUCUCUGUGUGUAUGGAGAAAUGUCAAUAAAAAGGCCUCAAGCUUCUUA